GACUGAGCCCAGCAACACUUAUACUACGGCGAUCCCGCAGAGUAACGCCACGCGCACUACGACUACAAAAAGGACCUCCGCCUCCACGAGAAAGCGUUACACAAACCUAUAUCUUCGGUCCGACGCGGCCGGCCCCACCACCCCGAAUGCCACCCUGUCUCACAAACAAUUGGAGGAGAUACGGAAACGGACUAAAAACUUCACAGAACCG